CGGCGGCGAGACCGAGCCGCGCCGCGUGCGAGGCAAAGCCGUCCUUAUACUGACACCAAAUGUCUUCGGGGAAAGCUGCAGGCGCGGGACGCUGGAGGGGGGAGGCGUGGAGGCGACAGACAGACUACGGCGGCGGCUGGCUUAGCUGAAAAGCCACCUCCUCCAGGAAGGCUUGCGCAGGACCCCCAGCAGCCUGGGACGCAGGACCCUGGGAGGUCGGCCUUCUCCAGGAAACCGACCUCCACUUGUGUCUGCGUCACCAGUUACCCCAGUCUCGUGCCUGUCACCCCAGUCUCGUUUCUCACCUGUGGGCUAUGGGUUGAGGGAGGGCAGCGUCCAAGGUAAACAAUCCCUUUUCACUUACCCAUUUGUAUCCAGCCAAAGGCAUCAAGACCCUCCCAAAUAAAUGCAGGUCAAGCUGACUACUCAUU